rnacentral:rRNA from 1 species
AUGGCGACGGGCGGCGUGGUUGAGGGCGGCGGCGUCUGGCCGGUGGAGGCGCCGGCGGUGGAGUCCAGCGGCGCGGUGGUGACGGGCAGCGGCGGGUUGGGUGGUGAUGCAGACAUGAUCGGAACCGAGCUACCUGAUACCAAAUUGGUAGGAGCUAGGAUCCUACCUGGUCUAGGGCGUAGGUUGUACGGGAGGGGGAGGGUUGACGGAGAUGCGAUCGCGGCUGCCGGCGGCGGGGCGCUGUGGCGCGAUGAAGAAGAGGCGGCGGCGGCGCAAGAGGCGGCUAGGGUUAGGUCUCCUGGCUCCCUUCGGGAAGCCGAGCAAAUAAUGAUUGCUUCUUGCUUGAUUAGAUUGAUACAUCUCCUCUCCUUAUAUAGAGAGGUUUACUUGACUCCUAAGCAAACGAUCCUAAUAACGAUAAGAUAA